ensembl:snoRNA SNORD79 Small nucleolar RNA SNORD79
AACUGCAUGUGAUGCAAGGUUUGAAAAAACUUUGGGAAACUUUCUGAAUAACAAUGAAGCAUAACUUUUUACUGAUGCAAUG